GCAAGCGUGGCGUAAUGGUUUGAGUGUUGGACUGCCACUCUGGAGACCAAGGUUCAAUUCCCAGCUUGGCC
rnacentral:tRNA from 1 species